AUGGAAAGUGUUCAAUUAGAACAUGAAAACGUGACUCAAUUGGUCUUAGUUAGUCUUCGGGACGGAGUGGAACAAGGGCGGAGACUCUCGAACGAGGAAAAGGAUCCCUUCGAAAGAAUUGACCGAGGAGCCAUAUGA
rnacentral:rRNA from 1 species